rnacentral:rRNA from 1 species
CUACGGGAUGCAGCAGUGGGGAAUACUGCACAAUGGAGGAAACUCUGAUGCAGCAACGCCGCGUGGAGGAUGACACUUUUCGGAGCGUAAACUCCUUUUAUAUAGGAAGAAGAUGACGGUACUAUAUGAAUAAGCGCCGGCUAACUCCGUGCCAGCAGCCGCGGUAAUACGGAGGGCGCAAGCGUUACUCGGAAUCACUGGGCGUUAAGAGCGUGUAGGCGGAUUAAAAAGUCAGAAGUGAAAUCCUAUAGCUUAACUAUAGAACUGCUUCUGAAACUCUUAAUCUAGAAUAUGGGAGAGGUAGAUGGAAUUUCUGGUGUAGGGGUAAAAUCCGUAGAGAUCAGAAGGAAUACCGAUUGCGAAGGCGAUCUACUAGAACAUUAUUGACGCUGAGACGCGAAAGCGUGGGGAGCAAACAGGAUUAGAUACCCGCGUAGUC